rnacentral:rRNA from 1 species
UACGAGGGGGGCUAGCGUUGCUCGGAAUCACUGGGCGUAAAGCGCACGUAGGCGGCUUUCUAAGUCAGGGGUGAAAUCCUGGAGCUCAACUCCAGAACUGCCUUUGAUACUGGAGAGCUUGAGUCCGGGAGAGGUGAGUGGAACUCCGAGUGUAGAGGUGAAAUUCGUAGAUAUUCGGAAGAACACCAGUGGCGAAGGCGGCUCACUGGCCCGGUACUGACGCUGAUGUGCGAAAGCGUGGGGAGCAAACAGG